CUACGGGGGGCUGCAGCAAGGAAUUUUGGGCAAUGGGCGAAAGCCUGACCCAGCGACGCCGCGUGGGGGAUGAAGGCCUUCGGGUUGUAAACCCCUUUUCCCGGGGAAGAAUAAUGACGGUACCCGGGGAAUAAGCCUCGGCUAACUACGUGCCAGCAGCCGCGGUAAUACGUAGGAGGCGAGCGUUAUCCGGAUUUACUGGGCGUAAAGAGGGCGUAGGUGGCUCUUUAAGUCGGAUGUAAAAUCUCCUGGCUCAACUGGGAGGGGUCAUCUGAUACUGUUGGGCUUGAGGACAGCAGGGGGAGGUGGAAUUCCCGGUGUAGUGGUGAAAUGCGUAGAUAUCGGGAGGAACACCAGUGGCGAAGGCGGCCUCCUAGGCUGUUUCUGACGCUGAGACCCGAAAGUGUGGGGAGCGAACAGGAUUAGAUACCCGAGUAGUC
rnacentral:rRNA from 1 species